AUUGAACGCUGGCGGCAGGCCUAACACAUGCAAGUCGAAUGGUAACAGGAAACAGCUUGCUGUUUCGCUGACGAGUGGCGGACGGGUGAGUAAUGUCUGGGAAACUGCCUGAUGGAGGGGGUUAACUACUGGAAACGGUAGCUAAUACCGCAUAACGUCGCAAGACCAAAGAGGGGGACCUUCUGGCCUCUUGCCAUCAGAUGUGCCCAGAUGGGAUUAGCUAGUAGGUGGGGUAACGGCUCACCUAGGCGACGAUCCCUAGCUGGUCUGAGAGGAUGACCAGCCAGACUGGAACUGAGGCACGGUCCAGACUCCUACGGGAGGCAGCAGUGGGGAAUAUUGCACAAUGGGCGCAAGCCUGAUGCAGCCAUGCCGCGUGUAUGAAGAAGGCCUUCGGGUUGUAAAGUACUUUCAGCCGGGAGGAAGGGAGUAAAGUUAAUACCUUUGCUCAUUGACGUUACCCGCAGAAGAAGCACCGGCUAACUCCGUG
rnacentral:rRNA from 1 species